ACAAUCUCAUGUUUGCAUAUAUAAUUUGACUAUUGUCAACAGCAAGGAACUAGGCUUUGCACCAUCUCCAGCAGCAAGAGUUGAGAAAGGCUUGUACUUUCAUUCUAAAACUGAAAUCUGUAACUGGAACAAUAAUAACUGUUCAAACUUAACUGGACUCAGCUUUUAAACACUGAUCACGCUAAAAGGUUGGAUACCAAUCUGAGCAUGGGAAACACUUUUUUUUUUAAAAAACUUAAAAACGAGGUAGCCAGUUAUAUGGAAUAUAUUUUGUAAAAUAAAGUGAGAUAAGAAAUGCGGAAAUAAAAAGUUUUAAUGUCAAUAUCCUGUAACUAAUAAUACCGGUAAGAAAUCUCAGCCACGUUACAGGGGAAUGUUUAGGUAGAAGGGGUUAUGCGCUGGAAAGUUUGCACUACUUACAAAAA